AACGAACGCUGGCGGCAUGCCUAACACAUGCAAGUCGAACGAGACCUUCGGGUCUAGUGGCGCACGGGUGCGUAACGCGUGGGAACCUGCCUUUAGGUUCGGAAUAACUCAGAGAAAUUUGAGCUAAUACCGGAUGAUGUCUUCGGACCAAAGAUUUAUCGCCUUUAGAUGGGCCCGCGUUGGAUUAGCUAGUUGGUGGGGUAAAGGCCUACCAAGGCGACGAUCCAUAGCUGGUCUGAGAGGAUGAUCAGCCACACUGGGACUGAGACACGGCCCAGACUCCUACGGGAGGCAGCAGUAGGGAAUAUUGGACAAUGGGCGAAAGCCUGAUCCAGCAAUGCCGCGUGAGUGAUGAAGGCCUUAGGGUUGUAAAGCUCUUUUACCCGAGAUGAUAAUGACAGUAUCGGGAGAAUAAGCUCCGGCUAACUCCGUG
rnacentral:rRNA from 1 species